UACGUAGGGGGCAAGCGUUGUCCGGAUUUAUUGGACGUAAAGAGCGUGUAGGCGGUUAGGUAGGUCCGCUGUGAAAACUCGAGGCUCAACCUCGAGACGCCGAUGGAAACCAUCUGACUAGAGUCCGGAAGAGGAGAGUGGAAUUCCCGGUGUAGCAGUGAAAUGCGUAGAGAUCGGGAGGAACAUCAGUUGCGAAGGCGGCUCUCUGGACCAGUACUGACGCUGAGGCACGAAAGCGUGGGGAGCAAACAGG
rnacentral:rRNA from 1 species